rnacentral:rRNA from 1 species
UACGAAGGGUGCAAGCGUUACUCGGAAUUACUGGGCGUAAAGCGUGCGUAGGCGGUUCGUUAAGUCUGUCGUGAAAGCCCUGGGCUCAACCUGGGAAUUGCGAUGGAUACUGGCGAGCUAGAGUACGGUAGAGGAUGGUGGAAUUCCCGGUGUAGCGGUGAAAUGCGUAGAGAUCGGGAGGAACACCCGUGGCGAAGGCGGCCAUCUGGACCAGUACUGACGCUGAGGCACGAAAGCGUGGGGAGCAAAC